UGGGACUACAGCCCAAACCGUAAAUGGUGCACACGCGCCAAUUGCAUGACUAGAUCCAGAAUCGGCACCGCUACUCAGAUAACAAAAUCCAGACACGCCGGUCACUAGGUGGCGCUAUACCAAGGAAUACGCGUUUGGGGCUAUAACUCCCACACCGAACCUCCCAGAGUCCAAAAACUUGUACACACAGAUGCACUGGAGUCUGCUGCAUCUUUUGGCCUAGGCCACGCCCAUUUGCGUCUAUGAAGUUUUUUCCCUACUCCUCCCACAUUUCUUGACCAAUCGACACCAAACUUUGCACACGACAUCUUCAGACGCACACGCAAAGAAUGCACGAAACACUUUUUUGAUGCGACCUUUGACGUCGAAACUGUAGCGUUUUGAAUAUUGGUUUAUUAGCUAAAUUAGACGUGGAAUA
ensembl:lncRNA